rnacentral:ncRNA from 1 species
GCCGGGGACCACCCGGGAAGGUGGCAGAGCGGUUGAAUGUACCUGACUCGAAAUCAGGCAGGCGUUUAUAGCGCCUCGGGGGUUCGAAUCCCCCCCUUCCCGCCAGUUUUCGCAGAAGGCCCCGUCAGGGGCCUUUU